GGUUUGAUGGUGUAGUUGGUUAUCACACUCGUCUCACACACGAGAGGUCCCGAGAUCGAGCCUCGGUCAAAUCA